UUGGUGAUUUUUAUUAAAUAAUUCCUCGUGGGAACGAUACUCUACUUUCACUUUAUUACUUGUUGACCGUGUAUACUUGCACGUAUUCAUUGAUUGUGAAAUCGAUCAACAAGUUUUUGGCGCCGCUGCCGGGGAAUAAAGACUUAUUACAUAAUCUUACUCAAGCUUAAACAUUGUCUGAAAAUAGUCUUAAUACAACAUAAUAG
rnacentral:lncRNA from 1 species